UACGGGGGGGGUAAGCGUUGUUCGGAAUUACUGGGUGUAAAGGGUUCGUAGGCGGUGCGGCAAGUUGGGAGUGAAAUCUCUGGGCUUAACCCAGAGGCUGCUUCCAAAACUGCUGUGCUUGAGUGUGGGAGAGGCGCGUGGAAUUGCAGGUGUAGCGGUGAAAUGCGUAGAUAUCUGCAGGAACACCCGUGGCGAAAGCGGCGCGCUGGACCACUACUGACGCUGAGGAACGAAAGCUAGGGGAGCAAACAGG
rnacentral:rRNA from 1 species